rnacentral:lncRNA from 1 species
AUGGAGGAGCCGAGGCCUCCCCGCCCUCCUCGCCCUCCUCUCCUACCUGUCCCCGGGGCCGGAGGGAGGCUGUCUGGCGGCGCCGCGGCAGGAGGCGGGCGGCUGGACUCGGCGCUGCCGCCUGUGGGCGGUGCUGAGGGGGGACCCGCGCUGCGCCCCGCCCGCCGGCUGACUGGGGUUGACCUGGCCGCCACAUGCUUAAGCGACCUCAAAGGAAGAGAAGAGAAAUCUGCUAGAAUUCCGCUGAGAGCAAGAUGGGCUGUUCCUUUACGUAAGAAAGGCAGAGGAACUUCAUACAGCAAAAAACUGAUUGAUUUGGAAACUCUCCAAGUUCUCCCAGGAGCGGUAUCACGUUCGCUCUGUCGACUCCACACCUGACCUGUUCUGGCGUCCUUUGAUUGCUAAAACUAGCAAGGGCCCAGCCGUGAUGAAAAAAUGAAGAUGAAUUAGUACAACUGGCUGCUGCGGUUUGAUAGGAACCAGAAGAAGCUAACUGGAAUGAGCAAGCAGGAGCUUGUGGCAGCGGGGCCAGGCUGCCGGGCAGCCCUGCGGUCACACGCCCCUCUGCAGAGCCUGCCGUGGUCGGCUCCAUCUCUUCUCCCCCAGCUCCUUGUGCUGACUUAAAGUUAGCCAGGGAACGUGAUGAGUGGUAGGAGGGAAAGCAGCUUUCUUCCUGCUGGGUGUUGCCUUUAUUACUGGGCUCCUGGCUGGUGGGGUCCCAGUUUCUAGUUAGUGUCCCAGCCGGUAAAAGUCAGGAUUGUGCUGUGAGCUGCCAUGAAAUGACACUACUUUACACCAGACUUAUUUUUUCAGACCUUGUUUUUCUCCUUUCUUUAUUCGGGAAAAGUUUUCUAAUCCUCAAACAGGGUGUUUCAGAAGGCUCGGAGCAUGACAUGGGCUGCACAGCUGGCAGGGAGGGAGGGACAGGCAGUCACCAUUCUUUGUAUUCAGAUAAAUAUAGUAUAAAUAGUAUGAAUCAAAAAUUGAGUGUACUGGCAAUAGUUAGUGCAUAUCACCCUUUCACUGUUUAUUUAAUGUUGCACGUCUGUACUGAAUCUCUC